rnacentral:rRNA from 1 species
GAUGGUUGUCGUCAGCUCGUGUCGUGAGAUGUUCGGGUUAAGUCCCGCAACGAGCGCAACCCUCGACCUUAGUUGCCAGCAUUCAGUUGGGCACUCUAAGGUGACUGCCGGCUAAAAGUCGGAGGAAGGUGGGGAUGACGUCAAAUCAUCAUGCCCCUUAUGACCUGGGCUACACACGUGCUACAAUGGGCGGUACAAAGGGUCGCGAACCCGCGAGGGGGAGCCAAUCCCAAAAAGCCGCUCUCAGUUCGGAUUGCAGGCUGCAACUCGCCUGCAUGAAGCCGGAAUCGCUAGUAAUCGCGGAUCAGCAUGCCGCGGUGAAUACGUUCCCGGGCCUU